UUUCCCUCUCACCUAUACACAAUAUCCCAUAACUACAAAGUGAAAAUAUGUUUUUAUACAUUUUUGCUAAUGUAUUGAGAAUUAAAUACAGAAAUAGGGUGAGUAUUGGUUAAGUGGGACAUUUAAGCUUUGUAAUGGAUAUCUUUAAAUGUGUAUAAUAACAUAACCAACAAUCAAGGCCUGUGUGUUAGUCAUUUUAAUUCUGAACUGGAAUAAACUGAUUGAUCACAUCACACAGAUGUAUAACAGAACACACAGGCUCAGUUUGAUAGUGCACCCUUAAGUAACAGUACAGAUGAAAAAUGAUCAGGCCUACUGUACAUCUUACUGUACAAAGUAUUGUUGAAAAAAAAGGUCUAGGUUGGAACUGUUGCUGUUAACAUACAAUAAAUAUAUUUUAUUCUAAACUGGAUUAAACACAGUCCUAAUGAGAGGUGUGUGGCUGGUUGAAGUUUUCAACAAGCAGGUCUAUUCUAGGCUAAAUUUUUGACAGUGCAACCCUGAGGUCAUGCCCAGCAUUGAGUCUGUUUCUGUACUUGUUUUUUUGUUUUUUAAGUAUGCCAGGGUUGAGAACCCUGACUCGCAUAGGUAUGUGGUGCCAAACUAGCUUAGAACAUCUACUGCUUUCUCAGUCUAGACAGGAGACUGCUUCCUGCAGUAGAUGAAAAACCCAGAACUCCAAGCCGGGAUCAUUUGCAGUCUGGGCGCGGAGGGGUGAACAUCUCCUGCUCUGACUGCUGCUGGGAGGGACUGCUGCGCGAGGACUGGGCCGCCUGUGAGUGCUUUGGCACGGGGGUGGGGCCCACGGCAGCAUCCGCUGCUCGUUGAGAAGAGAAUCUCUAAAUGCUAUGUUGAAUGAGCGCCGCAGAUGAAGGACAGGGAGGAAAACGGACAACUUCUUUCUACCACACCUUUACCAAGUCAUACAAUGUUUGCUUCAUGAACAAUUGUUACAUCAGAAAUAAAUACAGAAUUAUUUUAGUUUA